CUGAGAAUAUUCUCACUGCUCUGAGUUUGGGAUAAUCAGGGCAGGCUAAACAUUUGCUAUACCAAGACCAUUCACGGGUCUCCAACCUAGUUCUUUGCUUACCUAGGGCUGGUCUUAGAAAUGAUGGUGAUAAAU